GAGGGUAUAGCUCAGUGGUAGAAUGCAUGCUUAGGAUGCACAAGGUCCUGAGUUUAAUCCCCAGUACCUCCA
rnacentral:tRNA from 1 species